AUACGGAGGAUCCGAGCGUUAUCCGGAUUUAUUGGGUUUAAAGGGUGCGCAGGCGGGAGAUUAAGUCGGCAGUGAAAUUUUGCAGCUCAACUGUAAAAGUGCCUUCGAAACUGGUUUCCUUGAGUGUAGAUGAAGUAGGCGGAAUUUGUGGUGCAGCGGUGAAAAGCAUAGAUAUCACGAGGAACUCCGAUUGCGCAGGCAGCUUACUAAACUACUACUGACGCUCAGGCACGAAGGCGUGGGGAUCAAACAGGAUUAGAUACCCUGGUAGGCCACGCAGUAAACGAUGAUUACUAGCUGUUUGCGAUACAAUGUAAGCGGCUGAGCGAAAGCGUUAAGUAGUCCACCUGGGGAGUACGUUCGCAAGAAUGAAACUCAAAGGAAUUGACGGGG
rnacentral:rRNA from 1 species